CGACUCCAUGAAGCUGGAUUCGCUAGUAAUCGCGCAUCAGCCACGGCGCGGUGAAUAACGUUCCCGGGCCUUGUACACACCGCCCGUCACACCAUGGAAGUCUGCAAUGCCCGAAGCCGGUGGCCUAACCACUUAUGUGGAAGGAGCCGUCUAAGGCAGGGCAGAUGACUGGGGUGAAGUCGUAACAAGGUAUC
rnacentral:rRNA from 1 species